UGAUCAAUAUAAAAAUCACAUAUAGAGAAAUUAUCGAUAAUUGAUCCUAAUACACAAAUCGAGGAUCUCUCUUAGGAUUAAUCAAAAUUAGGAUUUAUCUAAGUAUCUGGAUCCUCCACUGAUCCAUAAGACUUCUAGAGAGAGAAAAUUCUAGAGAGAGAAAGUAGAGAGAGAAAGUGGAGAGAGAAACCUUCGUAUCCUUCCGAUGAGGCACUCAUGAUCGAGAUCAUCAGAGGUCCUAUCAGGGUGACUCAAUAUGAAUCAAGUGUUACAAAUUUUGAAUAGGAUCGAACUGGGAUCAGAUCUACCGCACGAAUUUCGAAGCAACCUCAGAUCAUCUUAUUUUCAUCU
rnacentral:lncRNA from 1 species